AUUCGGUGCAGGAAUUUGCUAGCAGUAAGCGACCGAUAAUGUGUUGUUUUUUCGUACAUGCGUUAGGGAUCGGUCUUGCAAAUACGCACAAGGAAAGCAUUAGGAAAUGGGCGUAUUUUCUCAUGGUAUGCUGGUAUGGAUCGGUGCAGGAAUUUGCUAGCAGUAAGCGACCAAUAAUGUGUUGUUUUUUCGUCGAUGCGUUGGGGAUCGGUCUUGCAAAUACGCACACGGAAAGCAUUAGGAAAUGGGCGUAUUUUCUCGUGGUAUGCUGGUAUGGAUCGGUGCAGGAAUUUGCUAGCAGUAAGCGACCAAUAAUGUGUUGUUUUUUCGUCGAUGCGCUGGGGAUCGGUCUUGCAAAUAUUUACACGGGAAGCAUUAGGAAAUGGGCGUAUUUUCUCAUGGUAUGCUGGUAUGGAUCGGUGCAGGAAUUUGCUAGCAGUAAGCGACCAAUAAUGUGUUGUUUUUUCGUCGAUGCGUUGGGGAUCGGUCUUGCAAAUACGCACACGGAAAGCAUUAGGAAAUAAGCGUAUUUUCUCGUGGUAUGCUGGCAUAAAUCGGUGCAGGAAUUUGCUAGCAGUAAGCGACCGAUAAUGUGUUGUUUUUUCGUACAUGCGUUAGGGAUCGGUCUUGCAAAUACGCACACGGAUAGCAUUAGGAAAUGGGCGUAUUUUCUCGUGGUAUGCUGGUAUGGAUCGGUGCAGGAAUUUGCUAGCAGUAAGCGACCAAUAAUGUGUUGUUUUUUCGUCGAUGCGUUGGGGAUCGGUCUUGCAAAUACGCACACGGAAAGCAUUAGGAAAUGGGCGUAUUUUCUCGUGGUAUGCUGGUAUGGAUCGGUGCAGGAAUUUGCUAGCAGUAAGCGUCCGAUAAUGUGUUGUUUUUCCGUAGAUGCUUUGGGGAUCGGUCUGGCAAAUACGCACACGGGAAGCAUUAGAAAAUGGGCGUAUUUUCUCGUGGUAUGCUGGCAUAAAUCGGUGCAGGAAUUUGCUAGCAGUAAGCGACCGAUAAUGUGUUGUUUUUCGUACAUGCGUUGGGGAUCGGUCUUGCAAAUACGCACACGGAAAGCAUUAGGAAAUAAGCGUAUUUUCUCGUGGUAUGCUGGCAUAAAUCGGUGCAGGAAUUUGCUAGCAGUAAGCGACCGAUAAUGUGUUGUUUUUUCGUACAUGCGUUAGGGAUCGGUCUUGCAAAUACGCACAAGGAAAGCAUUAGGAAAUGGGCGUAUUUUCUCAUGGUAUGCUGGUAUGGAUCGGUGCAGGAAUUUGCUAGCAGUAAGCGACCAAUAAUGUGUUGUUUUUUCGUCGAUGCGUUGGGGAUCGGUCUUGCAAAUACGCACACGGAAAGCAUUAGGAAAUGGGCGUAUUUUCUCGUGGUAUGCUGGUAUGGAUCGGUGCAGGAAUUUGCUAGCAGUAAGCGACCAAUAAUGUGUUGUUUUUUCGUCGAUGCGCUGGGGAUCGGUCUUGCAAAUAUUUACACGGGAAGCAUUAGGAAAUGGGCGUAUUUUCUCAUGGUAUGCUGGUAUGGAUCGGUGCAGGAAUUUGCUAGCAGUAAGCGACCAAUAAUGUGUUGUUUUUUCGUCGAUGCGUUGGGGAUCGGUCUUGCAAAUACGCACACGGAAAGCAUUAGGAAAUAAGCGUAUUUUCUCGUGGUAUGCUGGCAUAAAUCGGUGCAGGAAUUUGCUAGCAGUAAGCGACCGAUAAUGUGUUGUUUUUUCGUACAUGCGUUAGGGAUCGGUCUUGCAAAUACGCACACGGAUAGCAUUAGGAAAUGGGCGUAUUUUCUCGUGUAAGCUGGCAUAAAUCAGUGUGAAAUUUGCUAGCAGUAAGCGACCGAUAAUGUGUUGUUUUCCGUAGAUGCGUUGGGGAUCGAUCUGGCAAAUACGCACACGGAAAGCAUUAGGAAAUGGGCGUAUUUUCUCGUGGUAUGCUGGCAUAAAUCGGUGCAGCAAAGGUGCAGGCUGGCAUAAAUUGCAAAGGUGAACUUGUGCGCUUUUCGUGUGACCGAUUUUCCUCGACGUGUUUUGUUUGAAAGAAAUGUUUUAUCUUUUGGGGUUUGUUUACAUUAUUACAAACUUCCUCGCCUAGAGCUGGGUGUGGUGUCUGUUAUAGGCAUGGAUUUUGCCGUUAGUAAUACGCUACAAUACGUUGUUUUAAUCAGCAGAAAUUUAAACCUCAGUCGGAGCAAUUAAAUCUAUAUAAAAUAAAUUAUGAAAUUUGGCUUGACGUUUUUUUUUUGAAAGAAAUAUUUAUCUUUAGGGUUUUGUUUACAUUAUUACAAACUUCCUCGCCUAGAGCUGGGUGUUGUUUCUGUUAUGGGCAUGGAUUUUGCCUUUAGUAAAUCGCUACAAUACGUUGUUUUCAUCUGCAGAAAUUUAAACUUCAGUCGGAGCAAUUAAAUCUAUAUAAAAUAAAUCAAAUAAAUUAUGAACUGCAAAAUUUGACAACCGCCUUAAAAUUAAAUGCUUCUGCUUCUCGAUUUUGUAACUACCUUUUCAUGAGUGCCGUAUUGAGCCAAAAUUAUUGGGCGUGUUGUAUGAAACGCUUUACUUGUUUCUGUUUCAAGCGCAUACGCUUGCACACUCUUGGUAACGAUUGGUAACGGUCACCACAAUUAAAAGAAAAGCUAAUAUAAUUAAAUUAAAUGAAAGAACAUUGAAAUAAAUUUUAGCGAAUAUAAUUAAAUUUAAUUCAUUUCAUUGAAUUUGCUGAAAUCUAAUGUUUUUGAAUUUAAUUUCAUGUAAUAUUGUUUACGUUUCGUAUGCGUUACACUCAUUUGACAGUUGAAAUUUAUUAUUCCGAUUAAUGCAUUAUUGUUUUCACCGGGGUAGCGUUACGAACGCAGAGGUUAGUUGUGUUAGUGUAAGGACCGUUAGGGCUAAGAACCAUUGCGAAAAAUCACUGCACUUGUAAUAAAAUACGUACGCCGAACGGUCAAGCGAGAAA